UGUAUAAGAGACAGCAGUAGCCGCGGGAAUACGUAGGGGGCAAGCGUUAUCCGGAAUUAUUGGGCGUAAAGAGUACGUAGGUGGCUAUAUAAGCGCAUGGUGAAAGGCAGAGGCUUAACCACUGUUAGCCUUGCGAACUGUAUAGCUUGAGUGCAGGAGAGGGAAGCGGAAUUCCUAGUGUAGCGGUGAAAUGCGUAGAUAUUAGGAGGAACACCAGUGGCGAAGGCGGCUUUCUGGACUGUAACUGACACUGAGGUACGAAAGCGUGGGGAGCAAACAGGAUUAGAUACCCCAGUAGUCCCUGUCUCUUAUACA
rnacentral:rRNA from 1 species